rnacentral:snoRNA from 1 species
UCCUAUGAUGGCAUGAAAUCUUUGAGACAUGAUCAUUCUUUUGAUGACAACCAUAAGCAUACAUAAUGUGGAC